AACUUCGCAUCUCAUCCCAAUCUGCCAACUUAAAAUGCCAAACACGACGUCGACCAGUAGAUUGCGGCAAAGAAGUAUGCGUGAAAGGCACUUCGCUCCGUAUCAGACAAUGAUCAGAGGAUCCCAGUGAGACUUACUUACUACAGAAGCUAGAAAGCUAGUGUUGUUAAUAAAAUAUAAUUUCUAUAUUGAAAUGUUGAGUUGGUUAAAAAGUAAAUAUUUCCUCCGUCGACUUGAGCCUAAGAAUUUCAGCCCCUCAAAGAACUUAACGUUUUUUGUUGUAAGAUAUCUGCGCUAUUUUGGCAACAUUCGUGGAAAACUUGGCGCCGGCAGCAUCGCACCAUGGGACAAAAGGAUGAGGAACCUAUGGCGGAGAUCAGCCGUUAGUAAAAGUGGACGACUUACUUAUCCUAUACAUAAUUAAAAUAUUUUUACAAUUACGUAGAGAUAAUUUGAUGGCUCGGCAUGGAAGAUAGUAAUGGCAUUUGAAAACAAAUUAGGGAUUUUUUUAAUAUUGAUGUUUGUCUGUUUGUUAUGGAUAUCAGGGUACUUGCGAUAUGCAGUAUAUAAAGGACAUGGGUUAAAGCAGGUCAUCCGAUGCAACUGGUACCCCUCAAAAUGCCAAGUAUUACCAUUUAUCUAUAAUGACUAUUGUUUGGAACGUCUGGAUAAAAUCAAAAAAUGGCUAAAGCAUGAUGUUUUUAUUAGCCAAUUUGAAAUGAUAUUAGGGAUUCAGUCUUACAUGAUUAUUGCUAUGCUAUAUUAUGAUCUGUAUAAUGUACAUGAAAUAUAUCACCUUCCUAUUAUUAUUAUUCAAAUGUGUCUUUUAUUCAAAUGUGUCUUUUAUUCAAAUGUGUCUUUUAUUCAAAUGUGUCUUUUAUUCAAAUGUGUCUUUUAUUCAAAUGUGUCUUUUAUUCAAAUGUGUCUUUUAUUCAAAUGUGUCUUUUAUUCAAAUGUGUCUUUAUUCAAAUGUGUCUUUAUUCAAAUGUGUCUUUUUAUUCAGAUGUUUUUAUAUGCUACGCAAGCGUAAAUUGCAAAUGUACCAUAUAUUCAAAUGUUUUUAUUGUUAUUUACACUAUAUGCAACACACAACACUACAGAGAAUAUACAAAAAUAUAUAUUUUGUGGGCUAAUGCUGUAAUAAUAAGAUUGCAUAAACUUUCACACAUUCACAUAAGUACAAAGUAACAGAAUAGUAUGAUUCAUAUAACGGGCCGAAAGGUUCUGUAUGAACAAAUAUUAUUUGAUUGAACAAAGAACGCCUAUUUUAAAAAAAUAAUUAAGUCGAAAUGGAAACAGAGUGCUAUUUGAUUAGUCAAUUUAUGUGUGACAGUUUAUAUAUAAAUUACUGUGCCUCUAGCGAGAAAGACUACAAUUCCAGGUAUAGCUAUUACCUUUUUAAGGUUACUUGAAAUAAACAAACUUUUCUGUUUCUUUAAAAACAACAAAUAGUAGCAAUAACAAAUAUGUAAACGAAAAGUUUUAUCACUAGAGGCACAGGUUGUGGUGUUGGGAAUGGCUUACGUCAUUUCAGGGCUGCUUUUCCUCGUGGAUACGUCCACGUGGAACUCGGCAGUCAGGUAAUGACUUGGAUUGCACCAUGGGCACCGACUAAUGACAGCUCUUGAGAGUUGUUCUUACUUGGUUGGCUAAUAAUCGGACACGGGUAGGACGAGCCGCGAUCUUAGAAGGAAAGUUCGCUCCCUAAAUCUUCGACAAAAGUCGAUGCUUCUGGGUAUGUGAGGAAUCGCUGGCUUGCCCUGCUCGUUUGUUUUUCCUCUUGUUUUCUUCCUCUCCUUUUACUUUAUUUUGUUUCUUUUGAUGUGAGCUAUUCUUUCUCUGUUCUUUUGUCUUUUCUGUCUUUUUGUUUCCUUCGGUGUUGUGUUUUCUUUUUCCCUUCUUGAUGUAAAUGUGUUCGAGACCACACCCAAGAAAAAUGGAAGAAAGUGAAGAAAAAGGCGGAAGAAUUCAAGGAGAAAUCCAUUAUGGCCAAAUUAUGGGAGCUGAAAGAUUGACAUCGAGCAGGCGAAUGGUUCCGCCGACCUUCAGAUCAAUGGGAUAAGGCAAAUAAUAUUAUCACUUUAAUGAUACGAUGAAUGUUGCACGUUGGACAGAAUUACUCAUAUGUUUCUGUACCAGUUCAUUAUGUGGCUAUUUUAUUACUCCAGCUCAAAAACAUCUCACUUGCACACACACCACUCACAGUGAUACCACGCAUAUCAUCAUAGUUGUGAGGAGUAUUGCGUUACAUUUACUACAAGCACUUCACUGAAGGAAUGCAAAAC